rnacentral:tRNA from 1 species
GAGGGUAUAGCUCAGUGGUAGAGCGCAUGCUUAGCAUGCAUGAGGUCCUGGGUUCAAUCCCCAGUAACUCUU